GAUGAACGCUAGCGGCAGGCCUAAUACAUGCAAGUCGAACGGGAUCCAGAUCAAAGCUUGCUUUGGUCUGGUGAGAGUGGCGCACGGGUGCGUAACGCGUGAGCAACCUACCCUUGUCAGGGGGAUAGCCCGGCGAAAGUCGGAUUAAUACCGCAUGACAUCAUUGAGAGGCAUCUUUCGAUGACCAAAGAUUUAUCGGACAAGGAUGGGCUCGCGUGACAUUAGCUAGUUGGUAAGGUAACGGCUUACCAAGGCUGCGAUGUCUAGGGGCUCUGAGAGGAGAAUCCCCCACACUGGUACUGAGACACGGACCAGACUCCUACGGGAGGCAGCAGUAAGGAAUAUUGGUCAAUGGACGGAAGUCUGAACCAGCCAUGCCGCGUGCAGGAAGACGGCCCUAUGGGUUGUAAACUGCUUUUAUACGGGAACAAACGUCGGUACGUGUACCGGUCUGAGUGUACCGUAAGAAUAAGGAUCGGCUAACUCCGUG
rnacentral:rRNA from 1 species